AAUGGAUGUUGCUACACUCGCACUGGAUGCCAAAUUUUCUUUAUCUCAUUGCACAUAGUGUUAAAAAAGAUCCCUGAGGUUUGAUGAUCGAUCCAGGAUAAUAUUUGUUAAUAUUCAGAGGUUAAUUUAUUUAAGAAAUGGAAAUGAUACGUGACGAAGAUCGCCGAAAACGCUUAAAAGCGUUAGAAGAAAAAAUUAAAGAUCCUAGAAGUAUUUCCAAUAUUGAUUGUCUCUUGGACACUGUCCAGGCACUAGUGGCUGACUGUGAUCAUCCAAGUAUUAAACGCAUGAAAAACAUUGAGGCUUAUAUGAAUAGAUAUGACUCAGUGGCUCAAGAAAUAAAUAAAAUGCGAAUGCGUACAGAUGACUUUACGCUUAUUAAAGUUAUUGGACGCGGAGCAUUUGGUGAGGUGCAACUAGUUAGACAUAAUUCUACACAAAAGGUUUAUGCAAUGAAGUUAUUGAGUAAAUUUGAAAUGAUAAAAAGAUCAGAUUCAGCAUUUUUCUGGGAAGAAAGAGACAUAAUGGCUCAUGCAAAUUCAGAAUGGAUUGUUCAGUUACAUUUUGCUUUUCAAGAUCACAAAUAUCUCUACAUGGUUAUGGAUUAUAUGCCUGGCGGUGAUUUAGUGAAUCUAAUGUCUAAUUAUGAUGUUCCUGAAAAAUGGGCUAAGUUUUAUUGUGCAGAAGUGGUAUUAGCUCUGGAUGCAAUUCACCGAAUGGGAUUUGUACACAGAGAUGUAAAACCAGACAAUAUGUUGUUAGAUAAAUAUGGUCAUUUAAAAUUGGCUGAUUUUGGAACUUGUAUGAGAAUGAAUGCAGAUGGAUUAGUGAGAUCAGAUACUGCUGUAGGAACACCAGAUUACAUUUCCCCAGAAGUUCUCCAGUCUCAGGGAGGAGAAGGUGUUUAUGGUCGUGAAUGUGAUUGGUGGUCAGUUGGUGUUUUUCUAUAUGAAAUGUUGGUUGGUGAAACACCUUUUUAUGCAGAUUCUCUUGUUGGAACAUAUUCAAAUAUUAUGGAUCAUCGCAAUUCGUUAGUUUUUCCUCCAGAAAUAGAUAUAUCUCAAUCAGCAAAAAGUUUAAUUUGCGGAUUUCUCACUGACCGAACCAAUCGUUUAGGACGAAAUGGUGUUGAAGAAAUAAAAAAGCAUCCAUUUUUUGAAAAUGACCAAUGGACUUUUGAUAAUUUAAGAGAAUGUGUUCCACCUGUCGUACCUGAGUUAUCAGGCGAUGAUGAUACUAGUAAUUUCGAUGAUUUAGAAAAAGAAGACACCCCAGAAGAGAGUUUUCCUGUGCCAAAAGCUUUUUCCGGUAAUCAUUUACCUUUUAUUGGAUUCACAUAUUCAGGAGACUUUCAAUUUCUUGUCCCUUCUGGUAAAGAAUCUGUUGAUGGAAUUGAAAAUCAUAUAAACAAUGGAAUAAGCGAUGAAGCAAAAAUUUCACAACUCGAAAGUUUGCUUGAGCGAGAGAGAAGACAAGUAGAAACAUUGGAAGCACGUCAUCGUGCUCUGACUGCUCAAUUAGAAGCGAUUACUCAAAAAGAAUCUGAAUUAAGAGAAGAAGCUGGUAGAGCUGAUAAAGAAUUGACCAUUCUAAGACAUAAUUAUAAAGAAGUUCAACGUCGUAUUGAACAUGAAACUGAAGCAAGGAGAAAAGCAGAGAAUUUACUAGCAGAAUUAAAGAAGAAAUUUGAUGAAGAACAAAGUAAAAGAGUACGAGAUGCUUCUAACUCACAGCAAACUUCGGAACGUGUUUUAACUUUAGAGAAGCAAAUCAAGGAAAUGCAAAGUAAAUUAGAAAGAGAAACAGAAUCAGCUACGAGGAUGAGAAAACAAGCAACUGAAGUUACUGUCGCUAAACAAACUGCUAAACAAAUGGCUAAUGAAUUACAACAAGCUAGAGCUCAACUACAAGCACAAACUGAUUCUCUACAACAAGAAGUAGCGAGCUUACAAGGUCAAUUAUCUAAAGAACGAAGUUCAAGAACUCAAGCUUUUAAUUUAACUGCAGAACUAGAGUCAAGGCUUGCUUCUUUGUAUGUUGAACUCGAACGGAGCAGAGAAAAAGAAGAAAAAGCUAUCUUGGAUAAUAGACAACUUAACGAAAGAGUUUCUGCAUUAGAAAAAGAGACAGCCAGUUUAACUUUGGAACUUAAAGCUGCUCAAGCAAGGUAUAACCAGGAAGUUUUGGCUCAUCAGGAGACAGAAAGAUCUCGGAUGUUAUCAAAAGAAGAAGCUAAUAUGGAAGUUGUGAAAGGACGAAUAAAUAAUGGUAUCAAAGUCAAGCUGAACGAGGAAAAAAGUGGAAGACAAAAAGCUGAAUUACUUGCUCAAGAGAAAGAACGACAAACGUCGAUGCUUUCUGUCGAUUAUCGGCAAAUACAACAGCGUCUUCAAAAAUUGGAAGGAGAACAUAGACAAGAAGUUGAAAAAGUCAAAGUAUUGCAGGGCCAAGUCGAACAAGAACAGCAAAAAAGAAGUGUUUUACAAACAGAAUUGGGGCAGCAAACAUCAGAAGCAGGUAGAUUGCGAGCACGAGAACAACAAUUGAUGAAUGAAGUUAGUCAGUUACGUGAAGCUAAACGUCAAAUUGAUGAGGAACUACAUAGUCUUAAGACACAAAGAAAUGUUGAUUUGUUACAAACAAAAGAGCUUCAAGAACAAUUAGAAGCUGAAGCUUAUUUUUCGACACUUUACAAAACGCAAACUCAAGAACUUCGAGAAGAGCUAGAUGAGAAGACAAGACUUCAGCAAGAACUGGAGGAAGAAAGGAGUUCGUUAGUGCACCAAUUACAAUUGUCAUUAGCUCGAGGCGAUAGUGAAGCGUUAGCAAGAUCAAUAGCAGAAGAAACAGUAGCCGACUUGGAAAAAGAACGAACAAUGAAAGAAUUGGAGUAUAAAGAUGGUUUAGUCAAGCAUCAUCAUGAACUCACAGCAAAAGAGCAACUAUUAAAUCGACUGAAAGACAGCGAAGCUGAGCUUAAAAAGACUGUAGAACAAUAUCAAAAAGAGAAAGAUGAUGCUUUGAAAAAAAUGAAAGAUCUUCAAGAGCAGCUUGUUAAAGCGCAGUCUAAUGCUGACGAAAUUGAAAGACUCAGUAGUAAAUUAAAGACCGAAACGUUAUUGAAACAGCAAGCUAUCAAUAAAUUAACGCAAAUUGUAGUAAGAAAAGACUUUUCUGCUGGUGGAAAAACUAAAAAUAAACCUUCUUCAGCAGAUUUGCGUAAGAAAGAAAGAGAUUGUAGACGGUUACAACAAGAGCUGACACAAGAAAGGGAAAAAUAUGGACAAUUGGCAGCUAAAUGGCAAAAAGAUUUGCAAGAUUUACAAGCGCAGCUAGUUGAAGAAAAUCAAUCAAAACUACGGCUACAAAUGGAAUUAGAUUCAAAAGAUUCAGAAAUAGAAACCCUUCAGAUGAAGAUAUCUUCGAUGAAUUCAGAGACUGCAAGUGUGUCGUCAGUAGAAAAUGAUGGUGACGAUUCAGUUUUACCGGAACAUGGUGCCAUGAGACUUGAAGGCUGGUUAAAUGUGCCGAAUAAACAAAAUAUUAAAAGACAUGGAUGGAAGAAACAAUAUGUUGUUGUUUCGUCUAAAAAGAUUAUUUUUUAUAAUAGUGAACAUGAAAAAAUGAAUGCUGAUCCUGUGUUAAUAUUGGACUUGAGUAAAGUUUUUCAUGUGAGAUCCGUCACUCAGGGAGAUGUUAUUAGAGCAGACGCCAAAGAUAUUCCUAGGAUAUUUCAGUUACUUUAUGCUGGUGAAGGCGAAGCACGCCGGCCUGGUGACGAAGGAAAUGCAUUACCAGGACCAGAUUUAAAUCAAUUGGCUGAUAAACCAGGCAUGCAACCAGUUAAAGGUCAUGAAUUUAUCUCGAUAUCUUAUCACAUGCCUACUACGUGUGAAGUCUGUUCAAAACAACUAUGGCACAUGUUUCGACCUCCACCUGCUCUUGAAUGUCGAAGAUGUCAUAUAAAGGUGCAUAAAGAACAUUUAGAUAAGAAGGAAGAUGCGAUAGCUCCAUGUAAGCUCCACUAUGAUCCUACAAGUGCUCGAGAGUUACUUUUACUUGCAAGCAGCCCAGAGGAUCAAAAAUAUUGGGUGGCACGUUUAUCUCGACGCAUUCAAAAAUGUGGUUAUAAAGCUAACUCACAUGUAGAUGGUACUGGACAACGAGUAUCGCCAAGGUAGCGUAAUUGGACUGAACAACUGCAAGGGAGACUUGGUAGCUCUUAUAUUUUGGCAUCGCAUGAUUGGGUAUUGUGAGAGAAUCUACGAGGUCGACAUUAAAGCCAUACCUUUCAGUUCAACAAAGAUCUGCCACUCUGCCAGCAAAUGCGAGCAUGGGAAAAUGAUCUUUAAUAAUAAAAAAUAAUCAUUUGUGAUCUCUAGCCAUUACGUCACAGGACCAAUAUUUAGUUUUAAUAACUACCAUUUGUUUGUCAUCAUAUUUUUCUCUGUGACUUGACGCUCAGAGAAUCUUAAUCGCCAAAGUAGCGUUGUUAUAAAAUUAAUACAUCAUAGAAAUCCUGGCAGCGGUAUAUAUUUAUAAAACAUAUAUAUACAUAGUGACUAGAUGUUUUUUCUUGUACAUGAACUAUUAAUUAUUGAAAAUUGCCAUUAUUCUCAUGUGAGUCAGUAAAUCGAUAACCGUAAAAUCGAAUUACUUCUCCUUGCCAACGACAAAAUAUGAAAAUUUCCACUUAAUCAAUUUAUAUAUUAAUCUAAGUUUCGUUUUUGUACUAAUUGAUAAACUAAUAACAAUGGAUUUUUCUAGUUUUUCUUGAUUAUGAAUGUAAAUAGCGGGAAAAUUAUGACACCCGUCGAUAGAUUGUUUUUCUCUAUUAAUCUUUUGAGAUAAAAAAUUUUCAAAUUGGAUCAUAUAGUAUUAUUACUUUUAUAUAUAACUAAAUACCUACUGAGAUGGAAAAAUGAAUCUUUUUAACAAGUAACAAAAUUCAUAAAUUAAAACUUUACAUCAUUUUUUAAAAUGAUGAUAGUUGUAAACAUUUUUUUAUAAAAACAAUUUUUCAUCUCAGUAAUAAUGGGAAAAUAUGAUGGAUUGUACGACUCUGAUAAUUUUUUUUAAAUAUGGAAGAUAGCAAAUAAUCGUGCAUCCAUAUAAAAUUGUAUAGUAAAAGUUUAUAAAAUCAUUAAUAAAUGAAUAUUUGUAGGGA